AGAAAAUUGAGUUUGAUGAUGGCUCUGAUUGAACGCUAUCCAAGUGGUUGACACAUGCUAAUCGUACGUCAUUAUUUUUAUAAAAUAAUGAAGUGGUGUACAGGUGAGUAAAAUAUUAUGGCUACCUUAAAGAAAGGGAAAAAAAUCCCUUAUAAAGGAAAUAAAACAAAAGUUUUGCUUUAAGAUGUUAAUAAAUAUAUCGGGUAAGUAGUAGAUAAGGUAAUAACUUAACUAGCGACAAAUCCGUAGUCGAGACUGAGAAGUUGAUCGAUCACAUUGGGUCUGAAAAAAGCCCAAUGCGUAUUAGUACAGCAGUGAGGAAUAUUGGUCAAUGGCCUAACGGCUGAACCAGCAACUUGGAAGAAGGAGGAGGUAUUAAAAAUUUUUAAUACUGAAACUAUGUAUGAAAUUCUGGAUAAAUUAAUGAUAAUGACAAUUAUUUAUUUAUAAGUCUUGACCAAAUUACGUGCCAGCAGUCGCGGUAAUACGUAGAAGACUAGUGUUAAUCAUCUUAAAUAGGUUUAAAGGGUACCUAGACGGUAUAUAAACUCCCGAGAGGGUAAUUUUUUACUAGAGUUUAAUAAAAGAAGGGGAGAAUUUUUGGAGUAGAGAUAAAAUUUUUUAAUACCAAAAGGACAUCUAUAGCGUAGGCGACCUUCUAUUAAAAACUGACGUUGAGGGACGAAGGCUUGGGUAGCAAUAAGGAUUAGAUACCCUAGUAGUCUGAGCAGAAAAUUAUGAAUGCCAUAGGUAAAAUAAAAUUUUACUUAUAAAUGAAAGAGAAAGCAUUCCACCUCAAGAGUAAAAUGGCAACGUUGAAACUGAAAUCAUUAGACCGUUAGUGAGAUCAGUAGUGAAGUAUGCUACUUAAUUCGAUAAUCCGCGAAAAAUCUUACCUCUAUUUGUAUAAUAAUUUAUAAUAAAUUAUUACAAGCGCUGCACGGCUGUUUUUAGUUAAUGUCGUGAGAUUUGGUUAUACCUAUAAGUAACGAAAACCCUCCUUUUAUUUAAUUUAAUUUUUUAAUAAUAUAUAAGUUAAAGAAUAUUCAUAGUCCACUUAUAUGGUAAAUUAUUAAAAGAUUAAGAGAUGAAAUGCUCUCGCUAAAAACGGGAUAAUAGGGAUUAAGACAAGUCAUCAUGGCCUUAAUAUAGAGGGCGGUAGGCGUGCUGCAGAUACCUUAAACAAAGGGAUGCUAAAUUGUGAAAUGGAGCUAAUCCUCAAAAUAGGUUAAUAUGGAUUGUAGACUGAAAUUCGACUACAUGAAUAAGGAAUUACUAGUAAUCGUGAAUCACCACGUCACGGUGAAUUUUAUCCUCAGUUAGGUACUAACCACUCGUCAGGCGCUGAAAAAAGUACAUGCAAUAAGUUUGAUUUGUGUUCAUUAAUAUAUAUAUUAUUAUUUAUAUAUAAAUAACAUAUAAUUUUCGUAUGUGUGACUUUAAUUAGUGUUAAGUCGAAAUAUGGUUCGUGUAAUGGAAAUUGCACGGGAUGAAUUAACCUC
rnacentral:rRNA from 1 species